rnacentral:rRNA from 1 species
AGCGUACACGGUGGAUGCCCUGGCAGUCAGAGGCGAUGAAGGACGUGCUAAUCUGCGAUAAGCGUCGGUAAGGUGAUAUGAACCGUUAUAACCGGCGAUUUCCGAAUGGGGAAACCCAGUGUGUUUCGACACACUAUCAUUAACUGAAUCCAUAGGUUAAUGAGGCGAACCGGGGGAACUGAAACAUCUAAGUACCCCGAGGAAAAGAAAUCAACCGAGAUUCCCCCAGUAGCGGCGAGCGAACGGGGAGCAGCCCAGAGCCUGAAUCAGUGUGUGUGUUAGUGGAAGCGUCUGGAAAGGCGCGCGAUACAGGGUGACAGCCCCGUACACAAAAAUGCACAUGCUGUGAGCUCGAUGAGUAGGGCGGGACACGUGGUAUCCUGUCUGAAUAUGGGGGGACCAUCCUCCAAGGCUAAAUACUCCUGACUGACCGAUAGUGAACCAGUACCGUGAGGGAAAGGCGAAAAGAACCCCGGCGAGGGGAGUGAAAAAGAACCUGAAACCGUGUACGUACAAGCAGUGGGAGCACGCUUAGGCGUGUGACUGCGUACCUUUUGUAUAAUGGGUCAGCGACUUAUAUUCUGUAGCAAGGUUAACCGAAUAGGGGAGCCGAAGGGAAACCGAGUCUUAACUGGGCGUUAAGUUGCAGGGUAUAGACCCGAAACCCGGUGAUCUAGCCAUGGGCAGGUUGAAGGUUGGGUAACACUAACUGGAGGACCGAACCGACUAAUGUUGAAAAAUUAGCGGAUGACUUGUGGCUGGGGGUGAAAGGCCAAUCAAACCGGGAGAUAGCUGGUUCUCCCCGAAAGCUAUUUAGGUAGCGCCUCGUGAAUUCAUCUCCGGGGGUAGAGCACUGUUUCGGCAAGGGGGUCAUCCCGACUUACCAACCCGAUGCAAACUGCGAAUACCGGAGAAUGUUAUCACGGGAGACACACGGCGGGUGCUAACGUCCGUCGUGAAGAGGGAAACAACCCAGACCGCCAGCUAAGGUCCCAAAGUCAUGGUUAAGUGGGAAACGAUGUGGGAAGGCCCAGACAGCCAGGAUGUUGGCUUAGAAGCAGCCAUCAUUUAAAGAAAGCGUAAUAGCUCACUGGUCGAGUCGGCCUGCGCGGAAGAUGUAACGGGGCUAAACCAUGCACCGAAGCUGCGGCAGCGACGCUUAUGCGUUGUUGGGUAGGGGAGCGUUCUGUAAGCCUGUGAAGGUGUACUGUGAGGUAUGCUGGAGGUAUCAGAAGUGCGAAUGCUGACAUAAGUAACGAUAAAGCGGGUGAAAAGCCCGCUCGCCGGAAGACCAAGGGUUCCUGUCCAACGUUAAUCGGGGCAGGGUGAGUCGACCCCUAAGGCGAGGCCGAAAGGCGUAGUCGAUGGGAAACAGGUUAAUAUUCCUGUACUUGGUGUUACUGCGAAGGGGGGACGGAGAAGGCUAUGUUGGCCGGGCGACGGUUGUCCCGGUUUAAGCGUGUAGGCUGGUUUUCCAGGCAAAUCCGGAAAAUCAAGGCUGAGGCGUGAUGACGAGGCACUACGGUGCUGAAGCAACAAAUGCCCUGCUUCCAGGAAAAGCCUCUAAGCAUCAGGUAACAUCAAAUCGUACCCCAAACCGACACAGGUGGUCAGGUAGAGAAUACCAAGGCGCUUGAGAGAACUCGGGUGAAGGAACUAGGCAAAAUGGUGCCGUAACUUCGGGAGAAGGCACGCUGAUAUGUAGGUGAAGCGACUUGCUCGUGGAGCUGAAAUCAGUCGAAGAUACCAGCUGGCUGCAACUGUUUAUUAAAAACACAGCACUGUGCAAACACGAAAGUGGACGUAUACGGUGUGACGCCUGCCCGGUGCCGGAAGGUUAAUUGAUGGGGUCAGCGCAAGCGAAGCUCUUGAUCGAAGCCCCGGUAAACGGCGGCCGUAACUAUAACGGUCCUAAGGUAGCGAAAUUCCUUGUCGGGUAAGUUCCGACCUGCACGAAUGGCGUAAUGAUGGCCAGGCUGUCUCCACCCGAGACUCAGUGAAAUUGAACUCGCUGUGAAGAUGCAGUGUACCCGCGGCAAGACGGAAAGACCCCGUGAACCUUUACUAUAGCUUGACACUGAACAUUGAGCCUUGAUGUGUAGGAUAGGUGGGAGGCUUUGAAGUGUGGACGCCAGUCUGCAUGGAGCCGACCUUGAAAUACCACCCUUUAAUGUUUGAUGUUCUAACGUUGACCCGUAAUCCGGGUUGCGGACAGUGUCUGGUGGGUAGUUUGACUGGGGCGGUCUCCUCCUAAAGAGUAACGGAGGAGCACGAAGGUUGGCUAAUCCUGGUCGGACAUCAGGAGGUUAGUGCAAUGGCAUAAGCCAGCUUGACUGCGAGCGUGACGGCGCGAGCAGGUGCGAAAGCAGGUCAUAGUGAUCCGGUGGUUCUGAAUGGAAGGGCCAUCGCUCAACGGAUAAAAGGUACUCCGGGGAUAACAGGCUGAUACCGCCCAAGAGUUCAUAUCGACGGCGGUGUUUGGCACCUCGAUGUCGGCUCAUCACAUCCUGGGGCUGAAGUAGGUCCCAAGGGUAUGGCUGUUCGCCAUUUAAAGUGGUACGCGAGCUGGGUUUAGAACGUCGUGAGACAGUUCGGUCCCUAUCUGCCGUGGGCGCUGGAGAACUGAGGGGGGCUGCUCCUAGUACGAGAGGACCGGAGUGGACGCAUCACUGGUGUUCGGGUUGUCAUGCCAAUGGCACUGCCCGGUAGCUAAAUGCGGAAGAGAUAAGUGCUGAAAGCAUCUAAGCACGAAACUUGCCCCGAGAUGAGUUCUCCCUGACUCCUUGA